GGGGCUGAGUUAGGUUCGACGGGAAGAUCCGCGGUCGACGUAAGCAGGCGGAGUUGCGAGCUCUCCAAAAACGAUCGCAAGCGUUUUACACGCAAACAAUCAAUACGCACUGGCUGCUUAAUUAGCUAGCCACGGGAUGCGAGAGGUCGCUGGAAUCACCUCGCAAACCGUCAUGAGCUCCAGCUAGGAUUGUGAUGGUGAUCUUCAUCAUCGUCCGAAGUUUAAGGAUCUGCCGCGAAUGAAAUCCGGGUUUCGAGGAGACAUUCGCGCAAGCUAAAAUCGAAACUGUAGCCUGAAGAAAGCGCCGGCUAGGCUUUUCGGACUCGGGGGGCAGUUCCCCGACAGCUCCACCA
rnacentral:tmRNA from 1 species